rnacentral:tRNA from 1 species
GCCCUGUUAGCUCAGUGGUAUAGAGCAUCAGACUUUUAAUCUGGAGGACGGUGGUUCGAUUCCACUACGAGGCU